rnacentral:lncRNA from 1 species
GCUUUAUCACGUGCAUGCUGUCAAACUUGCUCUUUAUAGUACAUUUUACUGCAUCCUCUCUUAGACUGAGGUCUUCUCAAGAUUCUUCUACCUGUAAGCUGGGAAAAGAGUUUCUAGAUUUCCCUGUAUUUUCACCUGCUAAAAAGAACUGCCACAUCAGGAAAUGAACGUCACUGCUGCCCAGAUUGAAAGGGAACAAUAAGAUGGAGAAUUCUUCCAAGGAAAACACCCAGCUCUUCAUGAAAAACAUAUUCCCGUCCACUGAAAGGCCG